rnacentral:rRNA from 1 species
CACGUAGGGCGCAAGCGUUGUCCGGAAUUAUUGGGCGUAAAGAGCUCGUAGGCGGUCUGUUGCGUCCGCUGUGAAAACUCGGGGCUUAACCCCGAGCCUGCAGUGGAUACGGGCAGACUAGAGGUAGGUAGGGGAGAAUGGAAUUCCCGGUGUAGCGGUGAAAAUGCGCAGAUAUCGGGAGGAACACCGGUGGCGAAGGCGGUUCUCUGGGCCUUACCUGACGCUGAGGAGCGAAAGCGUGGGGAGCGAACAGG